UACGUUAUACACCCUUGUUAUUAAAAUAUUGGUCACGUUACUUGUUGAAAAUAAAAAUAUAUACAAAUGUACUCGACUUCGAAGGGGUGCCUAGAAAAGCAUAAAUUAUAUAUACAGGUAAUGUAUUUUCGUAAACUUUGUAGAGGAUAAUAAAAUUGAGAAUGGAAAACUAAUAUUAGUGCGUAUUACAGAAUAACAAAGCAAUUAGGUAGAUUCAUGGUAUACCACUAUCUUGCAUUGUACUUUUGCAGUGACCAAUCAGUCUAGUUGUUACCCAAAUCUCCGAAUUUGUACACAGAUGUUCAAUUUUAUUGAUAAGAAUGUUUAUCUCU
rnacentral:lncRNA from 1 species